GACGAACGCUGGCGGCGUGCUUAACACAUGCAAGUCGAACGGUAAGGCUCCAGCUUGCUGGGGUACACGAGUGGCGAAUGGGUGAGUAACACGUGGGUGACCUGCCCUGCACUUCGGGAUAAGCCUGGGAAACUGGGUCUAAUACCGGAUAGGACCGCACCGUGAGGGUGUGGUGGAAAGUUUUUUCGGUGUGGGCUGGGCCCGCGGCCUAUCAGCUUGUUGGUGGGGUAAUGGCCUACCAAGGCGGCGACGGGUAGCCGGCCUGAGAGGGUGGACGGCCACAUUGGGACUGAGACACGGCCCAGACUCCUACGGGAGGCAGCAGUGGGGAAUAUUGCACAAUGGGCGGAAGCCUGAUGCAGCGACGCCGCGUGGGGGAUGACGGCCUUCGGGUUGUAAACUCCUUUCACCAUCGACGAAGGGUUUCUGACGGUAGAUGGAGAAGAAGCACCGGCUAACUACGUG
rnacentral:rRNA from 1 species